GCGGUAACAUUUCUAGCUUGCUAGAAGAUGACGAGCGGCGGACGGGUGAGUAAUGCUUGGGAACAUGCCAUUAGGAGGGGGACAACAGUUGGAAACGACUGCUAAUACCGCAUAAUCUCUUCGGAGCAAAGAUGGGGCUCUUCGGACCUAUCGCCUAAUGAUUGGCCCAAGUGGGAUUAGCUAGUUGGUGAGGUAAAGGCUCACCAAGGCGACGAUCCCUAGCUGGUCUGAGAGGAUGAUCAGCCACACUGGAACUGAGACACGGUCCAGACUCCUACGGGAGGCAGCAGUGGGGAAUAUUGCACAAUGGGCGCAAGCCUGAUGCAGCCAUGCCGCGUGUGUGAAGAAGGCCUUCGGGUUGUAAAGCACUUUCAGUAAGGAGGAAAGGUUAGUCGCUAAUAUCGGCUAGCUGUGACGUUACUUACAGAAGAAGCACCGGCUAACUCCGUGCCAGCAGCCGCGGUAAUACGGAGGGUGCGAGCGUUAAUCGGAAUUACUGGGCGUAAAGCGUACGCAGGCGGUUUGUUAAGCUAGAUGUGAAAGCCCCGGGCUCAACCUGGGAACUGCAUUUAGAACUGGCAGACUAGAGUGUGAUAGAGGGUGGUAGAAU
rnacentral:rRNA from 1 species